rnacentral:rRNA from 2 species
UUGGAGAGUUUGAUCCUGGCUCAGGAUGAACGCUGGCGGCGUGCCUAAUACAUGCAAGUCGAACGAGUUUUGGUCGAUGAACGGUGCUUGCACUGUGAUUCAACUUAAAACGAGUGGCGGACGGGUGAGUAACACGUGGGUAACCUGCCCUUAAGUGGGGGAUAACAUUUGGAAACAGAUGCUAAUACCGCAUAAAUCCAAGAACCGCAUGGUUCUUGGCUGAAAGAUGGCGCAAGCUAUCGCUUUUGGAUGGACCCGCGGCGUAUUAGCUAGUUGGUGAGGUAACGGCUCACCAAGGCGAUGAUACGUAGCCGAACUGAGAGGUUGAUCGGCCACAUUGGGACUGAGACACGGCCCAAACUCCUACGGGAGGCAGCAGUAGGGAAUCUUCCACAAUGGACGCAAGUCUGAUGGAGCAACGCCGCGUGAGUGAAGAAGGCUUUCGGGUCGUAAAACUCUGUUGUUGGAGAAGAAUGGUCGGCAGAGUAACUGUUGUCGGCGUGACGGUAUCCAACCAGAAAGCCACGGCUAACUACGUGCCAGCAGCCGCGGUA